rnacentral:tRNA from 1 species
UCCUCGUUAGCUCAGUCGGUAGAGCGGGUGGCUGUUAACCACUAGGUCGGCGGUUCAAGUCCGUCACGAGGAGCCA